rnacentral:rRNA from 1 species
AAAGAGGGUUAAAUAGCACGUGAAAUUGCUAAAAGGGAAGCGCUUACAACUAGACGUAGGGGCAUUCAAUCACCUGGUGGUUUCCGCCAGGGCACUUGGGUGUUUUUCCUAGGCCAGCAUCGGUUUGCUGCGGGGGAUAAAGACGCUAGGAAUGUAGCCCCUCUCGGGGGGUGUUAUAGCCUGGCGUGUAAUGCCCUGCAGCAGACCGAGGUCUGCGUAUUCUGUACAAGGAUGCUGGCGUAAUAGUUGUUAGCGACCCGUCUUGAAACACGGACCAAGGAGUCGUCCUCGUAUGCGAGUAUUUGGGUGUAAAACCCCUGUGCGAAAUGAAAGUGAACGUAGGUGAGAGCCUGUUACAGGGCGCAUCACCGACCGAUCCUGAUGUUCUCGGAUGGAUUUGAGUAAGAGCAUACGGGGCCGGACCCGAAAGAAGGUGAACUAUGCCUGCGUAGGGUGAAGCCAGAGGAAACUCUGGUGGAGGCUCGCAGCGGUUCUGACGUGCAAAUCGAUCGUCAAACGUGGGCAUGGGGGCGAAAGACUAAUCGAACCUUCUAGUAGCUGGUUUCCGCCGAAGUUUCCCUCAGGAUAGCAGUGUCGAGCUCAGUUUUAUGAGGUAAAGCGAAUGAUUAGGGACUCGGGGGCGCCUUUUAGCCUUCAUCCAUUCUCAAACUUUAAAUAUGUAAGAAGCCCUUGUUGCUUUAUGAA